rnacentral:lncRNA from 1 species
GUGCCACUUUGUCCCGUUUUGGUGCCAGUUCAGCCAUUUUGGUGCGAAUUUGGCCGUUCUGGUGCCAAUUUGUCCCAUUUGAUGCCAAUUUGUCCCGUUUUGGUGCCACUUUGUCCCGUUUUGGUGCCAAUUUGGCCAUUUUGAUGCCAAUUUAGCCGUUUUGGUGCCACUUUGUCCCGUUUUGGUGCCACUUUGUCCCGUUUUGGUGCCAAUUUGUCCCAUUUGAUGCCACUUUGUCCCGUUUUGGUGCCACUUUGUCCCGUUUUGGUGCCAAUUUGUCCCAUUUGAUGCCACUUUGUCCCGUUUUGGUGCCACUUUGUCCCGUUUUGGUGCCAGUUCAGCCAUUUUGGUGCGAAUUUGGCCGUUCUGGUGCCAAUUUGUCCCAUUUGAUGCCAAUUUGUCCCGUUUUGGUGCCACUUUGUCCCGUUUUGGUGCCACUUUGUCCCAUUUGAUGCCAAUUUGUCCCGUUUUGGUGCCACUUUGUCCCGUUUUGGUGCCAAUUUGGCCAUUCUGGUGCAGUUUGAUGCCAUUUUUGUACCAAUUUGUGCCGUUCUGGUGCCUCUGUGCAGGCACGCCUGCGUCCCCGUGGACUUCGAGGAGGUUCGGGUGGGCGCCGAGGCGCCCGAGGAGGACGUGCAGAACGCCAUCACGGCCAUCCGGCGCAACGGCGUGGCGCUCAAGGGGAACAUCGAGACCAACCACAACCUCCCCCCCAGCCACAAAUCCCGCAACAACCUCAUCAGGUGGGCGCUGCUUCGGGGGGAUUUGCAUAUUUUGGGGUCUGAUUUGCAUAUUCUGUGGUCUAAUUUGCAUAUUUCAUGAGCUGAUUUGCAUGUUUUGGGGGUUCAUUUGCGAGUUUUGGGGGUUUCUUUCAUGUCUUGGGGGUUCAUUUGCAUGUCUCGGGUUAAAUUUCAUUCUGGGGGAUAUUUGCAUGUUUUGGGUGUUGAUUUGCAUAUUUGGGGGUUCAAUUUGCAUAUUUGGGGUUGAUUUGCCUGGUUUGGCUGUUUGUUUGCAUAUUUGGGGGGUUGAUUUGCAUAUUUUGGGGGUUCAUUUGCAUGCUUUGGAUUUGAUUUAUGUGUUCGGGGGUAAUUUGCAUAAUUGGCUGUUGAUUUGCAUAUUUGGGGGUUUUUUUGCCUGUUUUAGGGAUUUAUUUUCAUUUUUUGGGGUCUAUUUUUAAGUUUUGGAGUUUUUUUCCCCUUUGAGAGAUG